ensembl:lncRNA
UCAGUUUGCAUUUUCAAUAAUAAGCUCAUCUCCAGCAACGCUUUUGUUGUUGCUCAAUUUUUUUUGGUUUCUGCAGCAACUCAGAGCACUUUUCAUACUCUUUAUCCUGGAUAAAGCACAUUUCAACCUGUCCCUCACCCAAGCAACUGUGCCAACAUGCUUUAAGUCCAUAUCCAUUUUGCCAGUGCCGAAACACUCCUCCCCAAUGUGCCUGAAUGACUACCGCCCCGUAGCACUCACACCUAUCGUUAUGAAGUGCUUCGAGCGACUGGUCCUAGCACACCUCAAGGACUGCCUCCCACCCACACUGGACCCACGCCAAUUUGCCUACCGUAGCAAUAGGAGCACAGAGGAUGCAGUAUGCACAGUGCUGCACUCUGUACUCACACACUUGGACAAUAACAACACAUAUGUUCGGAUGUUGUUUGUUGACUUCAGCUCAGCAUUUAACACUGUCAUUACCUCCAAGCUGACCACAAAACUUGGAGACCUGGACAUUAACACCUCCCUCUGCAACUGGAUUAUGGACUUUCUUACCAACAGACCUCAGCAUGUUAGGUCAGGCCACACCUGCUCCACCACCAUCACACUCCACACCGGCAUACCACAGGGCUGUGUGCUGAGUCCAUUCCUCUACUCCCUCUACACCCACGACUGCAAGCCUGUGCAUGGAUCCAACUCCAUCAUUAAGUUUGCAGAUGACACCAUGGUGAUUGGCCUCAUCAGAGACAACGAUGAGAUGGCCUACAGGGAGGAGGUACAGCACCUGGCCUCAUGGUGCGCUGACAACAACAUGCUCCUUAACACCAGUAAGACAAAGGAGCUCAUUGUGGACUUCAGGAAGAAGAAAGGAAGCACGCAUGACCCCAUCCACAUUAACGGGAUGGUUGUUGAACGUGUCUCCAGCUUCAAGCUCCUGGGAACCACCAUCUCAGAGGACCUGUCCUGGACCACAAACAUCUCCAGCCUGGUCAAGAAGGCUCACCAGCGCCUCUUCUUCCUCAGGACACUGAAGAAGAACCAACUGUCUUCAGCCAUCCUGGUGAACUUUUACCGUUGUGCGAUCGAGAGCAUCCUGACAGUUGCUGACCGCAAGGCACUGCAGAGGGUGGUGAAAACUGCCCAACGCAUCACAGGGACACCACUUCCUGCUAUUGAAGACAUCCAGAGAAAACGCUGUCUAAGUCGAGCUCGCAGCAUUCUUAACCCUCUGGAGUCGAUUAACGCGUAUACGCGUUUUGGGGUAUUUUCUCCUGAUAACCCCGAAAAGAACUUAAAUUACACUUUCAGUUUUGAUCGUACAGAUAAGAGCAAUACAUCAAUCGAAUCUGUAAAGGGUCUACUUUUUUUGUAUACAGACAUAAUAACAACAAAACUUUGUGCACUUAUAAAAUAAAGAUAACAAACAAGGAGUGCUGUCUGCAGCCUUUGUCUGCGCUGAUCUUCANNNNNNNNNNNNNNNNNNNNNNNNNNNNNNNNN